UGCAGAAUGAAAAGAGCUCUCUGGAGUGCAUGUUGGGGGGAGACAUCCUCCCUCCUGCGCUUGGGUGCUGUCAGAAAGGGGGAAAAAGAUUAUCUCCAUUCCCACUGCCAUUCCUUGGGUUUGAUGAGAAAUGGGCUCCUUGACUGACUUCUGCAUGGGGAGUCUGGAUUCAGCGUUCAUGCUCCAGGCUUUCCCUUUGUGUUAUUCCCUUGAAAGUUAAAAAGGGGCUUCUCAGCCAAAAACAUGCCUCAUCAUUGUGACAUGCACUGUAAGUCUGGGCAAUGUUUGGGAAAAUGGUAACCCAGAGAGCCAGCACCCCCUCUCACCUACUGGUCGUGAUACCUGUGCUCAGGAUCCCAAGGAGAAACAGCAAUAAACCGGAAAACAGCUAUUUAUUCAUGGAA